CUCUUUGGAUUAAUAUGUGCUGUCCUGGGCCUCGCGUUCUUGAGUCGGGUAUGAGCAAACAAGAUUCACAAAAGAUCACCUGGGAUUGGGGAAAAAGCCGAAAAUCCUGUCACCAAAGAAACCGCUUGAGAACAUUAUGCCAAGCCAGUCACAAGAAGACAAAUUCUGCCUGAUCCAACUUCUAUGAGGAACUUGUCUGACCCUGUGACAUGCUUCAAUCAACAGAAGGCAGCAUAAGCCAUGCUGUGUAGCUGCUGAGUCCUAAA